rnacentral:rRNA from 1 species
CACGUAGGGCGCAAGCGUUGUCCGGAAUUACUGGGCGUAAAGGGCUCGUAGGCGGCCAACUAAGUCGGAUGUGAAAUCCCCAGGCUUAACCUGGGAACUGCAUCCGAUACUGGAUGGCUUGAAUCCGGGAGAGGGAUGCGGAAUUCCAGGUGUAGCGGUGAAAUGCGUAGAUAUCUGGAGGAACACCGGUGGCGAAGGCGGGUCUCUGGGCCGGAUGAUUGACGCUGAGGGCGAAAGCGUGGGGAGCGAACAGG